UUCUUCUCAAGUCCAAUUAUGCACUUUUGAUGCGCUUGUUACACACGUGCUAUCUCUCAAACACUCAAGUCGCGUUUGGGAGAUCUAUUUCCGACAAAGACCAUCACUAGGAUGCUGAAAAGGACCGCACAGGUCUAUCACCCUUUCACCUUUGUAAA